rnacentral:misc_RNA from 1 species
UUAUUCUUUUGCAGGCAACUCAGGUAGUCUACUAACUUUUCAUAUUGUUGUGGAAUUUAAGUUAUUUAUUUUUGAAUCAGCUGCUAACUAAGCAUAAAUUAAUCGCUUAAAAUGGUAAACUAUGAGCAACUUGGUUAGAACUGCUGAUUGGAAUUGAGCUUAACAACUAUUAGACUGUAUGCUGCACUCCUAAAUGUGUACUGCAGUAUAGCUUUAAGCCUUCGUUGUGGAUACCAGUUUUUGAUACCUGAACUGAAAAGAACUGAAAAAUAUGCCCUUUUCUCGGUC